rnacentral:snRNA from 1 species
UAAACAUAAAUUAAAGAAGUCGUU